rnacentral:rRNA from 1 species
UACGGAGGGUGCAAGCGUUGUCCGGAAUCAUUGGGCGUAAAGCGCGUGUAGGCGGUCCGGUAAGUCCGCUGUGAAAGUCGGGGGCUCAACCCUCGAAUGCCGGUGGAUACUGUCGGGCUAGAGUGCGGAAGAGGCGAGUGGAAUUCCUGGUGUAGCGGUGAAAUGCGCAGAUAUCAGGAGGAACACCAAUUGCGAAGGCAGCUCGCUGGGACGUAACUGACGCUGAGACGCGAAAGCGUGGGGAGCAAACAGG